rnacentral:rRNA from 1 species
UCGCUUCUACCGAUUGAAUGAUCCGGUGAAGCCUCGGGAUUGUGACUAGUUCCCUUCAUUGGGGAUUGGUCGCGAGAACUUGUCUAAACCUUAUCAUUUAGAGGAAGGUG